rnacentral:rRNA from 1 species
CGUGUCGGAUUAUUGGGCGUAAGAGCACGUAGGCGGCCUUGCAAGUCAGUUGUGAAAGCCUUCCGCUUAACGGAAGAACGGCAUCUGAUACUACAGGGCUUGAGUACGGGAGGGGAGAGUGGAACUUCUGGUGGAGCGGUGAAAUGCGUAGAUAUCAGAAGGAACGCCGGCGGCGAAAGCGACUCUCUGGUCCGAAACUGACGCUGAGGUGCGAAAGCUAGGGGAGCAAACGGGAUUAGAUACCCCGGUAGUCCUAGCCGUAAACGAUGGGCACUAAGUAGAGGGGUUUUGAUUAUUUCUCUGCCGGAGCUAACGCAUUAAGUGCCCCGCCUGGGGAGUACGGCCGCAAGGCUAAAACUCAAAAGAAUUGACGGGGGCUCGCACAAGCGGUGGAGCAUGUGGCUUAAUUCGAUGCAACGCGAAGAACCUUACCGGGGCUUGACAUGGUAGAAGUAGAAUCCUGAAAGGGUGACAUCGGUCCAGUCCGAAGCUAUCACAGGUGUUGCAUGGCUGUCGUCAGCUCGUGUCGUGAGACGUUGGGUUAAGUCCCCUAACGAGCGAAACCCUUGUCUUUAGUUGCUAACGGGUAAUGCUGAGCACUUUAGAGAGACUGCCGUCGUUAAGACGGAGGAAGGUGGGGACGACGUCAAGUCAUCAUGGCCCUUAUGUCCCGGGCUGCACACGUGCUACAAUGGUCGGUACAAAGGGAUGCUAAGUCGCGAGAUGGUGCGAAACCUAUAAAGCCGAUCUCAGUUCAGAUUGGAGGCUGAAACUCGCCUCCAUGAAGUUGGAAUCGCUGGUAAUCGCGGAUCAGCUACGCCGCGGUGAAUAUGUUCCCGAGCCUUGUAC